GCCUCCGGCCGCGGUGCGGACGGCAGCGCAGCGCGGCGGUAUGGCUGCUGGCGGGGCGGCGGAGCGCGGCGGGCUGGAGGCGGCGGUGCGCGGCCGCCUGCGCGGGCUGCGGGAGCGCUGGGCGUGGGGCAGCCGGGAGCGAGGCGCGGCGGCCGCCGAGCCGGGCCCCGCAGACGGCGGCGAGGAGGCGGCGGAGGAAGUGAGCGCCCUGCAGGCGCUGCCGAUUGACGUGCAGCUGUACAUCAUGUCCUUCCUCACGCCCCAAGACCUGUGCCGCUUGGGAUGCACGAGUUGUUACUGGAGGGUGGCUGUGCAGGACCCCCUGCUGUGGAGGAAUUUUCUCCUGCGGGAUCUCCCCAUUUGGACAUCUGUUGAUUGGAAAUCUCUCCCAGCCACAGAAAUUUUUAAUAAAGCCUUUUCACAAGGCAGCGAUGAAGCCAUGUACGAUUAUAUGGCAGUAUAUAAAAAAAGCUGUCCCCAGACCAGAAGAAGUUUGAAAUCAAGUCGCCCUCGGUAUGGUGCUGUGACUUCCUUUUUGCAAUCUCUGGUCACUCAGACAGAACCUCGCUUUGCUAUGUUUGGACCGGGCUUGGAAGAGCUGGACGACUCUUUAGUACGAAAGAUGAUGACAUGCCCAGAAAUCCUGCUAGUGGCUGGCUUACCUCAAAGACGAAUUCAUGGGAUCGGAUCAGGAGUCAGUUUUCAGAUUAAUAAUAAUCAAAAAUUCAACAUUGUGACAUUGUACUCAACCACCAGUGUGGAAAGGAAGAGAGCAAGAGAAGAGCAGGCUGCUGUUGUGAAUAAGAUGUUCUACCAGGAGAAUAGCACUGUAGGGAAUCAGCAAGCUGUGCAGUACAAUGUAAUAGCUCAAGUUAAAAAGGUGUGCGAAGUAGUUGAUGGAUUCAUUUAUGUUGCUAAUGCAGAAGCUCAUAAAAAGCACGAUCGUGAGGAGGAACUAGCUCAUAUUUUGGCUAUGAUAGAUCCAGCCCUUGGACCUCCUAACAGACCUCUGCUAGUUCUGUCUUGUGUCUCUCAUUUUGGUGUGGAAAGGAUUCCUUGUGUUUAUAUGGCACAUCAGCUGCAACUAAAUCUGCUACCUCGACCCUGGAUGAGGUUAUAGACUGCAAUGAGGUCACCUCUUGGCCUCCUCUUCUCCAGUCUGGACAACCCAGGUGCCUUCAGCAAUUUCUCACAGGACAUACCCUCCAGCUCUGUCAUACUGAAGUACCUUUCUUUAUUGUGGAGUUCAGAACUGCACACAAUAUUCAAGGUGCAGGACACAGUAGCUGCAACUUUAAGCGGAUUGCUAAGUGGAAUUGAAUGGCUCUUGGAGGAAGCAGAUUGUAAAAAUGCACAAUAAUUGAACUUAUUUUGUUUUACUGUAUAGAGACUUCUGUGUUUUAGAAUUCACAUGAAAUCUCAUCCUGACUCAGAAGUGUCAGAAAGGAGAUUUAAAAGAAAAAGCUAGCAUAUUUUUCAGUGCACGUAAAUAAUUAACACUGUUAAUUAGAAGAACAUGUAUGGUUUCCUGGGUUCCUGCAGCUGAUGAAGAAUUCACUUCGUAAAGGGAUCUGGGUGUUUUUUUUUUUUUUUUGUGUGUGUGUGUGUGUGUGUUAGUUUCUUCUUUUUAUCUGGGGCCUUCAGAGUGCAAUCUUUCCUAAGUAUAUCUGAUAAUCUAAUCUUUUCUGUAAAUAUACCAAACACCAUGUUAAUUUAUCAGCAUAGCUGUAUUGCACACACUACACAUUUAGUGACUGCAUUUAGUUAAUAUAUAUUCAGUGAGAGCUCAGCAGGUUGUCCUACCAAAGAAGAUACACUGCCUUGUAUCUUGCUCGUGGCUCAUCUUUUUUUUAGGUUAACAGAUAAAUAGUAUAUUUUUCAGAAGAAUAUAUUUCUCUCCUUUUUUUCCCUUCCCCUAGAAGCAAUGCUAGGAGAAGAAAUAGUGCCUGGGGGAGCAGCCCAGAAUUUGUGGAAAUGGACAGGCAAAAUCCCCUGUAUCAAUCACUUGUUUCUUGCUUGUCAUUUAAUUUGUCAGUCCACCACAAAACACUUAAGCAUCUUCAGCUUUCUGUUGCAGAUAAAUUAGUUUAAACUGACAUACAUGUUGCCAUGAAUGAAUAUUAAAUGCAAUAAUUAAUAUUUCAGGACAUUUAUACGUGCAUAGUGCUCAAGGACCUGUCAGUUACUCAAAUAAUUGUUGCCAUUUGCAGAUGUGAAAUAUCUGACUUGAAAUUUUCUACAAAGUUGCAAAUAUUUUUAUAAAAAGGGAAACAGCACUUCAGAUCUGGAGUGGUGUUUUUUGUAUUGUUAUCUUUUGAGAUAGUUCAGCUCCUCGUCUUCCACCUUUUAAACAAUUUUAAAUUGUUGAAUGAAUAUUCAAAAGUUCCCUUGGCUUUUUUUUUUUUUUUUUUUUUUUGCCUAUGAAUGUAUUUGUUCUGUUUUGUUUGUAGUUUAUUUCCUCUACCUUUCUCCAUAGAAAUGCAGUUGUCUUGAAACACUUCUGCCUAGGUAGAUAAAUGACUACAUGGUAUACAUACAGCUGUAACUACCUUUAUCUGGCAUGUGUCUGUGCUUAACACAGCUAUUUCAGGAACAUUCCAUUUGAGAAUUCUCUAUCUCCCUCUCUUAAUGAAGUAGUAUAGAGAUGGGAACUGUUGUCUUAUUUUCUCUCAUGUUUAUCCUGUAUUAACUCAGUUUUCUAGACUUUUUCCCUGACUUCAUAUCAGGACAUGUUUGGAGGGAAAAUUCAUGGGAAGCAAUACUAUGCUAAUUCUGCAACUAACUCUGCUUUAAUAGAGUAUGUGUACCUUGUCCUGUGAAGUAGGAUGCAAAACAUGGAUAACUGGAGAAAUUUCCACACCUUGGCUGUGUGUGAACUUCCUGGUAGUCACAAUAAUUCUGUAGAGACCUGUCUACUUGAAUGCAGCAGCCUGAUUCUGUGUGAGAUUCUACAAAUGUUUGUUUCUGCCAGAUCUUCCUUCUGCUUUCUAAAGAAUAAAUUAUUUUUUUAAA